GACAGAGGGGGCAAGCGUUGCUCGGAAUUAUUGGGCGUAAAGGGCGCGUAGGCGGCCUGGCAAGUGGAAGGUGAAAUCCCUCGGCUUAACCGAGGAACUGCCCUCCAAACUGCUUGGCUUGAGUCCGGGAGAGGUGAGUGGAAUUCCCAGUGUAGCGGUGAAAUGCGUAGAUAUUGGGAGGAACACCAGUGGCGAAGGCGGCUCACUGGACCGGAACUGACGCUGAGGCGCGAAAGCGUGGGGAGCAAACGGG
rnacentral:rRNA from 1 species